UAAUACGGAGGGUGCAAACGUUGUUCGGAAUUACUGGGCGUAAAGGGCGCGUAGGCGGCGCUAUAAGUCAGAUGUGAAAGCCCACGGCUUAACCGUGGAAGUGCAUCUGAAACUGUAGUGCUUGAGUAUCGGAGAGGAAAGUGGAAUUCCCGGUGUAGAGGUGAAAUUCGUAGAUAUCGGGAGGAAUACCGGUGGCGAAGGCGACUUUCUGGACGAAUACUGACGCUGAGGCGCGAAAGCGUGGGGAGCAAACAGGAUUAGAUACCCUGGUAGUCCACAGCUGUAAACGAUGAGAACUAGGUAUAGGGGGUGUCGACCCCUUCUGUGCCGUAGCUAACGCAUUAAGUUCUCCGCCUGGGGAGUACGGUCGCAAGAUUA
rnacentral:rRNA from 1 species